GAGGGGCGGUGCGAAAGGCCCCGCCCCCCUCCGCCGGGCUCUGUGGCGUCCGGAGCGAAAGGCGCGAAGCGAGAGAUCAAAGCGGCAGCGAGCGUAGGGCCCAUCUCUCUGCCCUGCUUGGGAUAAGACACAAAAAUGCAUCUCAAAUUGCAAAUGCACCCUUCUUCAGACUAGUGUUUAAGAAGGAACUGCAGAUGCUGGACCUUCUUCAGACUAGGAAUGAUGAGUACUGCAGCUGUUGUCUUGCGGAGGCCACUUAAGAGAUUGCCUUGUCAGUUUCCAAACAAAUCUCUUCAGUGGAGACACAAGAUGCUUGGCACCAACCAGCUUUCAGUUUGAAUAUAGAUAUGCACUUUAAAACUCACAUAGAUGUCGCUGAACUUGCUGGGUUUUUCAAGCCAUUUGUUGUUUGCUCCAGAUUGCACAUUUGCAGUCAGUUUCGCCUUUUGGGUUGUUACAAAGUUCUGGAAACGUCAUGGAGGUGGUUAGAAGUUUCGCUGGGUUUUGGAAUAAGCAGUCAGCUUCCAGAGUGAUAGAAAUGUAGCAGACAGCAGAACUUACAAGUGACUCUGUGAACGAUCUCUUCAAUAACACAAAUGUAGAGCAAGCACAUUUAUGGAAAUGUUUCCAGCACUUUGCUUUCAUUUCAGAUUUCCAUUUCUCACAUAUUCUGUACUGAUAAAGUUGUUUGACCGGGAACGUUAACUGUUUAUCCUUCCAGAGUGGUUAAGCACAGUUACUUUAUGAGUUGCCAAUGGCUCUGGAAAAUCAUUGCUGAAUUUUAUCCUGUAAAACUGAAAAUUGGCAAAAAGAGGAACUCAUCACAUGUUGCAAUAUGCAAGUCAAGCAGCAUCUUUCAUGAGAAGUGAUGAAAGAUCAUUAACCUGAAAUGUUUCUUUGUGUUUUGUUCUUCACAGGUGCUGGGUAUCUCCAGCAUUUUCUUUCUUUUUUAAAUUCCAUUUGGUUCGUGUUUAGCACCAAGCAUAAGUCACUUCAGAAAUUGCUUGGUCAGAUUGUUUUGUAAUGAGAUCAAAUGAUCUGGAAAUAGUCAUCCUUGCAUUUCAAUUUGGGGAAGAUCAAUUUACAUUCACAUAGCACUGAAUUAAAGUAACUGACUUUCCUGGCCAUAUUUUUUUUUUAAGGCAUUAGUUUCCAGGCUUCAGUAGGUUUAGUAGUUGUGAGGAAUUUAACCAAUAAAUAAAUUUGGAACAAUAUUUAUUUUGUAAUUUCAAUGCAAUAGAUAUGGAGUGUCCUGUUUCAGUUGCAAGAGGAUAUACGACUUUGUGUUAAAUGCUAACAAUGUUUAUGUACUUCUCAAUUGACUUUUUGGCUCACUGUAAUUAAAAGCAGUCUAUUAUUCUUUACACUUGAAUAUUGAGUGAAGGGAAAACACAAAGGUGUGAAGGUGGAAGAACCAGUUCAUAAAGCUGUUAUAAUUGCUUAAGAGGCUUUUAUUUUUAUUUGUGGACACAGAACUCAAAAAUAAGAGAAUCAUGCAAAACUCUUCUGAAGCACGGGCGUGUUCACUUCUAUGCAACACAGUUUUAAGUAGGGUUUGAACAACCAGAAUUCGGAUACAGAGGAAAUUUAUCAGAAUGGCUCCUAUAAAGGUGUAGAGCACAUAACAUAUCAUUUGUUCAACAAUGCCUGUAACGAACAUGAUACCAAUUUAAACUAAUCGCCUUUGCCAGUUCUGAAUCCAAACAAUCAAGUCACCUGGUUUCCAUUCAUCUUAAUUUUCUUGAUCAGCCUACCAUGAGGGACUUCAUCAAAUGCCUUACUAAAGUCCAUGGAGACAACAUCCACUGUCUUACCCUCAUCGAUCACCUUCUUCGUCUCCUCAAAACACUCAAUCAAGUUUGUAAGACUUGACCUGCCAUGGACAAAGCGAUACUUAGUUUGGUUUAGUUUAGAGAUACAGCGCCGGAACUGGCUUUUCGGCCCACCGGGUCAGCGCCGACCAGCAAUCCACACAUAUUAACACUAUCCUAUAUAGGGACAAUUUGUACAUUUACAAGCCAAUUUAUCUAUAUACCUGUACAUAUUUGGAGUGUGGGAGGAAACCGAAGAUCGCGGAGAAAAACCCACCCGGUCAUGGGGAGAACGUACAAACUCUGUACAUACAGCACCCGUGGUCGGGAUCGAACAUGGGUCUCUGCUACUGCAAGCACUGUCAGGCAGCAAUCCUACCGCUGCGCCAUGGUGCCGCCUUGACUGCCCCUAAUUAGUCCAUUCUCUUCCAAAUGAAAGUACAUCCUAUCCAGAGGAAUCCUCUCCAAGCACCUCCCAACCACAGACAUGAGGCUCACCAGUCUAUAAUUUCCUGGAUUAUGUUAACUUCACUAAACAAAGGAACAACAUUGGUUACUCUUCAGUCCUCAGGAGCCUCAUCUGUUAUUAAAGAUACAAAGAUCUUCGUCAAGGCUUCUGCAAUCUCCACUGCUCUCUCAAUAACCUGGGAUCAAUCCCAUCAGGCACUGGAGAUUGAUCCACCUUAAAGCUCUUCAAGAAAUACAACAUCACCACUUUCCUGAUCUGAAACUGCCUAGCAUAUUGGUAUUCCCCACACUGAUCUCACUGUCCUCCAUAUUCUUCCCCUUGGUGGAUACACAUGCAAAAUACUCAUUUAGUACUUCACCUUCGUCCUCCGAUUGCAAGCAUAAAUUCCAUGAUUUAUCCCUGGGUGGUCCUAUUUUCUCCUUGGUUACCCUUUUGUUUUUAAUGUACAUAUAAAAAGCCUUGGAAUUUUCUUUAAUACAAGUACCAGUGUUAUUUCUUGGUCCCUUUUGGCCUUUCUAAUUGCCGGCCUGAGCUAUUUAUUGCAUGCUUUAUAGUCCCACUGGUUUCAUCCUUCUAAACAUUGAAUCCGCUUCCUUUUUCAACUGUACAACCUCUUUGUUCAUCUAAUGGUCCCUUACUUUGCCAUCCUUAUCCCUCCUCCUAACGGGAACAUGCUGCCUUGAACUCUGAUCGGCUAAUACUUCAUAUGAUUCCGUCAUGUCAGAUGUGAACAUACCCAAUAACAACUGCUCCCUGGCCCCCAAACUUGAGUAAAGUAGAGGCUCAUUCCUGGCGUAUAUCCAAGAGAAUAUUAGGUUUCCAAAUCUUAAAGGAAUCAGGGGGAUAGGAUUUGUACAGAAGUGUGGUUCUGAGGUAAAAUAUACCGUAAAUACAAUAUUAUUCACUAUUCUAUUCCUGAUUAUCUUUUUUUCUGAUUCUGCUAUUUUAGCCAUGCCAAGAGAAUAAAGACCUUAGAUGCUGCAAAGAAUGGGGAGAUUUAAACAUAGGUAGCAAGAAAUCCUUGUUCCUGCAACCUCUUCCAAUGAAGGUCCAUAUUUCUUAACUACUUUCUGCACUUGCAUUUUUGCUUUUGAUGAUUGAUGUAUAAGGAAAUCUAGCUCCCUUGGGUACUUCAACAUUACCUGAUGCAUUGACUUUCCAUAUUUUCUACCCUAAUGGAUAACUUCUCAUUUAUUCACAUUAUGCUGCAUUUGCCAUGUACUUGCUUGUUCACUCAACAUGUCUCAAUCACCAUGAAGCCUCUGUGAUCUCCACAACCGGUUCAAUUUGUUAGCAAACUUAACCAUAUUGCAUAUGAUUUCUUCAUCCUAAUACCACUGCAAUACCUCAUAGUCAUUGCUUGCCACCCCUACUCUCUGUUUUCUGUUUGUAAAUCAGUGUUCAAUCCAUGCAGGCAGAUCAGCCCCAAAUCCCAUGCGCAGAUGUCAGAGUAACAUACAAACAUAGAAAAUAGGUGCAGGAGUAGGCCAUUUGGCCCUUCGAGCCUGCACCGCCAUUCAAUAUGAUCAUGGCUGAUCAUCCAACUCAGUAUCCUGUACCUGCUUUCUCUCCAUACCCCCUGAUCCCUUUAGCCACAAGGGCCACAUCUAACUCCCUCUUAAAUAUAGCCAAUGAACUGGCCUCAACUACCUUCUGUGGCAGAGAAUUCCAGAGAUUCACCACUCUCUGUGUGAAAAAUGUUUUCCUCAUCUCGGUCCUAAAAGAUUUCCCCCUUAUCCUUAAACUGUGACCCCUUGUUCUGGACUUCAAGUAACCAUUGCAUCUCCUCUCUCUCUGUCCCUCCCCCAUCCUAGUCAUUGUAAUACUUUCACUGUCGUCCUGCUGAGUUUCACUGUUUGCAUCAUUCAUUAUCACCUUCCCCACAGCCAACAAUGGACAAUUAUGAGCUCCACCUUUCCUUGAUCAUCGAUGCCGGCUCUGAUUUGCCCAGUAUCUUUUCAUAUCUCCCGUUUCCCUUUCCCCUGAUUCUCAGUCUGAGGAAAGGUCUUGACACAAAACGUCAGCUAUUUCUUCCCUC